UACGUAGGUGACAAGCGUUGUCCGGAUUUACUGGGCGUAAAGAGUGCGCAGGCGGUCGAUCAAGUCGAGUGUGAAAGCCCCCGGCUCAACUGGGGAGGGUCAUUCGAUACUGAUCGACUCGAAGGCAGGAGAGGGUAGUGGGAAUUCCCGGUGUAGUGGUGAAAUGCGUAGAUAUCGGGAGGAACACCAAUGGCGAAGGCAGCUCGCUGGGACGGUACUGACGCUGAGACGCGAAAGCGUGGGGAGCAACAGG
rnacentral:rRNA from 1 species